rnacentral:rRNA from 1 species
CCUACGGGGCGCAGCAGUGAGGAAUAUUGGUCAAUGGUCGGGAGACUGAACCAGCCAAGCCGCGUGAGGGAUGAAGGUACAGAGUAUCGUAAACCUCUUUUGUCAGGGAACAAAGGCGGGGACGUGUCCCCGGAUGAGUGUACCUGAAGAAAAAGCAUCGGCUAACUCCGUGCCAGCAGCCGCGGUAAUACGGAGGAUGCGAGCGUUAUCCGGAUUUAUUGGGUGUAAAGGGUGCGUAGGCGGGUAAGCAAGUCAGAAGGGAAAUCCAUGGGCUUAACCCAUGAACUGCUUUUGAAACUGUUUAU